rnacentral:rRNA from 1 species
UUGGAGGGCAAGUCUGGUGCCAGCAGCCGCGGUAAUUCCAGCUCCAAUAGCGUAUAUUAAAGUUGUUGCAGUUAAAAAGCUCGUAGUUGAAUUUCGGGGUCAGUAGGUUGGUCAUGCCACUGGUAUGUACUGGUCUCACUGAUUCCUCCUUCCUGAUGAACUGUAAUGCCAUUAAUUUGGUGUUGCAGGGAAUCUGGACUGUUACUUUGAAAAAAUUAGAGUGUUUAAAGCAGGCUAACGCCUGAAUACAUUAGCAUGGAAUAAUGAAAUAGGACGUUCGAUCCUAUUUUGUUGGUUUCUAGGAUUGACGUAAUGAUUAAUAGGGAUAGUUGGGGGCAUUAGUAUUCAAUUGUCAGAGGUGAAAUUCUUGGAUUUAUUGAAGACUAACUACUGCGAAAGCAUUUGCCAAGGAUGUUUUCAUUAAUCAAGAACGGAAGUUAGGGGAUCGAAGACGAUCAGAUACCGUCGUAGUCUUAACCAUAAACUAUGCCGACUAGGGAUCGGAUGAUGUUAAUUUUUUAAUGACUCAUUCGGCGCCUUACGGGAAAC